GACCUUAGGAACUAGGGGUGCUUCCAUCUGGAAGAAUCUGGAGACAGGUGCUGCAUGGCUGUCGUCAGCUCGUGUCGUGAGAUGUUGGUUAAGUCCCGCAACGAGCGCAACCCUUGCCUUUAGUUGCCAGCAGUUCGGCUGGGCACUCUAAAGGGACUGCCGGUGUUAAACCGGAGGAAGGUGGGGAUGACGUCAAGUCCUCAUGGCCUUUAUGACCAGGGCUACACACGUACUACAAUGGCCGAUACAAAGGGCAGCGACACUGCGAGGUGAAGCCAAUCCCGUAAAAUACGGUCUCAGUCCGGAUUGGAGUCUGCAACUCGACUCCAUGAAGUUGGAAUCGCUAGUAAUCGUGGAUCAGCAUGCCACGGUGAAUACGUUCCCGGGCCUU
rnacentral:rRNA from 1 species